ensembl:snRNA U2 U2 spliceosomal RNA
AUAUUUUUCAAUAAAAAAAAAAAUCUGUUCUUAUCAGUUUAAUAUCUGAUACGUCCCCUAUCUGGGGACCAUAUAUUAAAUGGAUUUUUGGAACAGGGAGAUGGAAGAAGAGCUUGCUCUGUCCACUCCACGCAUCGACCUGGUAUUGCAGUACCUCCAGGACCGGUGCACCUCUC